UCGGCGGGGAAUGCAGGAAUUCUAGCUUCUAUUGAUAUAUUUUAUAGUUGUUAGAAGUUGCUAAAAAAACUUUUUAUUAUAUUUAUUAGAAUUUGAAAUUGUAAACAACAUUCAAAUAUUUGUUCAAUUUGUCAUAAAUGAUUAAAAAAUCACUAUUUAGCUAGAUAGGAAAUUUAAGGAAGACAUGCAGUUUUUACUGCACCAACCAAUUCGUUAGAUAAUUACUUAUCGAAAUUAGAAUAUUCAUUGGAAACAGGGUGACUAAGGCUACGCCAUGCGAUGAUUUAAAAAAGAGGGGAGAAGAAAGAACAAUAGCUGUAGACAGCAAGAGGAGGAGAAUCGUAAGAAAGUGUUUGCGCCAUGAGUAAUCAAGUUAAAUGGCGCCUGGCCUCAGUUAUCGAAGUGGGAAAUGUGUUAAUCAGCGGGGAGUGUGAAAUUGAGCGGACCCACCGAAAAAGUAAACAAUUAAAUCAGAUGAAAUGCGGCCCCAAAACGGAAGCCCCCCACCUAGUAGUGACUUUCACGCAGAUCUCUCGAUUAUCAUGAAAUUUCCUAUAUGUGAUGUACAUACAUAUGUACAUCAAUUAUUUAACCACAUAUAGUAUAUUGACGUACAUAUGUAUAAGGUCGCUCGCUUGGCGAUAAUUUUGAUAAGCCCAAUGAUACUUUCAGUUUAAAUGUGUUGAUAUCCGAGUUCUUACUCAUGCCCCCCCCAUUGGAAUUCGUUUUCUCUCUUCGGUUUGCUGCUCUUUCCUUGCAAAUAUCAUCAAAAUAAUGCAGUAAUUCACUAUCUUUGCCCUUAAGCACAAUAUGUUUGGUUGAAAAACGGUUGAAAAAGUUGUGCUUUUCAAUUGAAAGGCUUGCGGAAAGGGGGGGGGGUAAGGAAAAGGGGAGAGGCAGCAGAGUGUAAUAUAAAUUGAGUGUCAGCUGAGCAGCUUUAUUAAAUCUACUCAAUAAGCGCAGCGUUGGGGGCUGCCAAUUCCGAUUCCAAUUCAACCGCGACAGUUGCAUUUGAUGGCGGGCCCAUUUAUUUGCGCUAAUAUCGUUCACCCCACUUGAAAUGUCAGCGAACAAACAACGAAGCAGCAACAAAAACAGCCAAUUACUCAGCUGGAAGUCGGAGGAAAGCUGCAGCAGCUCGGAGAUCGGAGAUCAGAGAUCGGUUUUCAUCAUGAUCCAGAAAUUACAGAACACACGCCCCACAAGGUGCAAACAAUUGAAUCAAGUGUAAAAUGUUGGGCUAAAUUUCAAAAUGCAACUGGUGCAAGCUGUUUUCUUGGCUAUGUAAACCAGAAGCAUUUACACUGGUCAACCGGGGGUUUGGACGAAAACAGCUGGGAUACUGAAUGAUAAUAGGGGAUAUCUUUUAAUGGGGAUGAAAAUGGUAGAAUUUUCCUGCACCUUUUAGCGGGCAUUUUCCAAACCGGUUUACGAGGUUUUUCAUUGAGGCAAACAGUUUUCCUUAUUAUCUUUAAGCCUGCAAAUACAGUGGUUACUCACAAACAAAUAUAGUGCAAGGUGCGGUGGCUGCUGAUAAGCUCGAUAAAUGUUUUACAGUGUAAAUGAAAACUACACUAUGUUCUAGGUUCCAAAAAAAUCAUUUACUAAUGUGCAUCAUUUUUUUUUUUAGAAAAAUCCUUUUGAAAUGAUAACAUUUGACAUUAUGAAUUAAUUUAGUACAGUAAACCCUAUAUAUCAGUUCACUUAAUAAAGGUGUAGGUUGCAUAGCCAGUCUUUGCUGUACUUUCCAGCCUACCACUCGUUGCCUUAGUCAUCUUGGCCCGAUUCAUUGGCCAAUCAGCCGCGCUGGAGGAAAACUUCCACGGCAUUGUUUUUCGCAAAUGAAUGGCAAUGAAAUGAAAAGUACACACGCAGACGGUGAAAUAUAUCAUCGUUCCCAUAUGCCGUGCAUAUAAAUCGGCGAGUGGAAAUUUAAUUGCAGAAGGUUGCAACGCAGCGAGGCAUUCAGUUUCACUGCAUUUGCCGCAGAGGUCGGGUCACCAAAAACCAUACAUACAUCAUAUAUGUAUGUAUGUAUGUAUGCAUGUAUGUUUGUAUAUGCGAUACGAUGGCGCCUCGUCGCUUGAAUGGUUUUUCCUGCAAAGUGGAAACCGCUGCGCUAUCAACAAACAUGUUUCCAUUGCGGCAAUGGGAUCCGAUUCGAUCCACUUGUUGCAUCGAUCCAAAAGAUCUGAAAAGUGCGUGCCAGCAGAUGAGAAACGAGCACUGAGUACCGAGAAUCUAGAAUCGAGUGUAUCCGCACAGUCAAACCGACAUUUGGUUUCAAUUUACGUUCAAUUCCCUUAUCGCCAACGAAUUAUUGGACACAGACAUUGCAUAAUGCACGAUCUACGAACAGACGGAUUUGUUUAGCCCCAAGCAGCCACAUAAACAUUGGUUUUCCCAGAUAAACAGAGCUGCAUGGAGUCUACUUACUCCAUUCCAUGCAUAUUUAUAGUCGAAAUAUGGGAUAGUUGGGGACUUUAGACUUUUAUGUUAAACUGUUAGCUAGAAUAACAUGGUCUUAUAAUAACGAGUGAUCUUAAAAACAAAUAAAUUACAUUUUUCUAAU
ensembl:ncRNA lncRNA:CR32385 long non-coding RNA:CR32385